UAUAUAUUCCCUCCGUCCCAAAAUUCUUUUCUUAGAUUUGUCUACAUAUGAAUGUAUCUAGUCACGUUUUAUUAUUUAGAUACAUGCAUUUCUAAACAAACCUAAAGACAAUAAUUUUUAGGACGGAGGGAGUAUUUG
rfam:Hordeum vulgare subsp. vulgare, WGS project CAJW01000000 data, contig: morex_contig_190940